rnacentral:rRNA from 1 species
UACGUAGGGUGCAAGCGUUGUCCGGAAUUAUUGGGCGUAAAGAGCUCGUAGGCGGUUUGUCGCGUCUGCUGUGAAAACCCGAGGCUCAACCUCGGGCCUGCAGUGGGUACGGGCAGACUAGAGUACGGUAGGGGAGAUUGGAAUUCCUGGUGUAGCGGUGGAAUGCGCAGAUAUCAGGAGGAACACCAAUGGCGAAGGCAGAUCUCUGGGCCGUAACUGACGCUGAGGAGCGAAAGCAUGGGGAGCGAACAGG